rnacentral:rRNA from 1 species
CACACUACGUUGGGUAGGGGAGCGUUCUGUAAGCCUGUGAAGGUGUGUCGUGAGGCAUGCUGGAGAAAGUUGUUCGUGAGUCUCUCAAAUUUUCGCAACACGAUGAUGAAUCGUAAGAAACAUAUCAGACAAUCUGUGUGGGCACUCGAAGAUACGGAUUCUUAACGUCGCAAGACGAAAGCUUUUGACUCUGUCGGUUCACUCUGAAAGAACACUACCAUCGGCGCUUCCUCCGUUACUCUUUAGAUCUUCGGGUUGUGAGGUUCCUCCGUUACUCUUUAGUCCUCCGUUACUCUUUAGGUGAAAUUGAACUCGCUGUGAAGAUGCAGUGUACCCGCGGCAAGACGGAAAGACCCCGUGAACCUUUACUAUAGCUUGACACUGAACAUUGAGCCUUGAUGUGUAGGAUAGGUGGGAGGCUUUGAAGUGUGGACGCCAGUCUGCAUGGAGCCGACCUUGAAAUACCACCCUUUAAUGUUUGAUGUUCUAACGUGGACCCGU